rnacentral:rRNA from 1 species
AACAGCCGCGGUAAUUCCAGCUCCAAUAGCGUAUAUUAAAGUUGUUGCAGUUAAAAAGCUCGUAGUUGAAACUUAGGCCCGUGCGGGUGGUCCGUCCUCUGGGCGAGCACUGCGUCGUCGCGGGUCUCACCUUCUGGCGAGCGUGGAUGCCAUUCACUUGGUAUCCGCGGGAACCAGGACCUUUACCUUGAAAAAAUUAGAGUGCUCAAAGCGGGCUCGUACGCUUGAAUACAUUAGCAUGGAAUAAUGAAAUAGGACGACGGUUCUAUUUUGUUGGUUUCCGGGACAGUCGUAAUGAUUAAUAGGGAUAGUUGGGGGCAUUCGUAUUCAAUUGUCAGAGGUGAAAUUCUUGGAUUUAUUGAAGACGAACUACUGCGAAAGCAUUUGCCAAGGAUGUUUUCAUUAAUCAAGAACGAAAGUUGGGGGAUCGAAGACGAUCAGAUACCGUCGUAGUCUCAACCAUAAACUAUGCCGACUGGGAAUCGGGCGAUGUUACUCUUUUGACUCGCUCGGCGCCCCGAG